CGCGCGGCCCGGCGCCCUGCCCCGAGGGGGUGGCCUGGUCGGCGCCGCCCUGUGGCCUUUCAGGGGUCUGGCUGAGCCCUCCGCGCUGGCCCAAGUUAUUUCAGGGCCUGGAGAGGAAAGUGCUCCCCCGAGGAGACCCUCAGACGGCUGCGAGCCCUCCCCUCUGUGCGCGCCCCUGCCUUAGGCGGAGGGGCGGCUGGAAGCCUGCUCCCUGCGACGUUCCCGCAUGUCCCGCCCCCACCCUCCGUGGCACAACUGCCCGCAGAGCUGAGAGAGAAUAAACUUCUCGAUUAAAAAAAAAUGUUUUUUUAAAAACAUGGCUAUUAGGCGCUCUCGGUUUUAUUGAGCGAUUCGUGACCCCGCAGCUGCCCAUCUAGAAAGGAGAGGGGGGCCCCUCCGCGGUUUAUCUUCAAGAAAGUCGCCGUCACGGCUUGGAAAGGAGCUGCCCCGGCCUCUCCCAGCACAGGCGGCCGUUUUCUCUUUAUUUAACAUUCUGUAGGUGCUUUGUUCCCGCGCCCCAGGGCCCAGGAGUGCUGUUAGCCCCUAAGGAAGAGACCCCAAGUGGAGCCAAACUCCAGCCCCUUCCCAGGCACCCCCGAACCGGCUGGGCGGGAAAGGCCAGCAGAGGUUCAACCCGGCAUCCAGUAGCCGUUUCCCCCCUUAAUUAAACAUUUCCCUUCAGUGGCCUGAGUGUCAAAGCGUCAUAUUUGCAGGAUGGGAAGCUGGGAAAUGUGGGAAGUUUGGAGAAGAGAAUAAUUUGCUUUCUUAGCAGGCAGGGACAGUCGCUGCUGGACUUUGCCGGCACAUCUCCAAGAGCAAUUUAUAAUCUGGUUUUUUGGUUUAAAAAUGGAAGAGCCUUUCCUCAUAGUUUCCAGAAUUAUAGUGGUCUUAUUUUACUUCCAUUUGUUAGGAUUUCCCUUUUGAUGUUGUCCUCUGCUCAUAGCAGCACCCGAAGCGCCACAAGAGCCCCGGGGGGGUUGGUGUCCCUCUGCCUUCCUGAUCCACGUUACAGAUGGGGAAACGGAGGCACGAUUCUCAAAGAGCAGGUCGCACGGGGAGUUCGAGGUCGGCGCUGGAGUUUGAAUGCGAAAGGACUCCUGGUUCCCACCCGGAUCCACCAUUGCCAGAAGGACCAGGACGAGUUCAAGGCGGUGCCAGAAGGAUCCUGAAAGUUCCUGCAGAGGAGCGUGGCUGCUGGCACUCCCCAUGGAAGGCUACUGAACUUAAGAGGCACCAGUCACUGCUGAGAAAAUGCCAGAACAUGGAGGCCACACAGAGAGGUGCCUUGGAGAUGACGCUGUUCACAGCCCAAGCCCUGUGACACAUCAUUGGGGAUGGAGACUUUAAAGGUUCAUCAGCCAUGAGCCACCUUGGGGCACCAUGCUGCAGAGAACCUACAGACACCUGCACCCACAGCUCACACAGCGUAAGACGCCAGAAAGUCCAGGACGCUGAGCUCUGCCAACAGCCACGGGAGCUCCCCCGUCGAGCCUUCAGAUGAGACCUCGUCCUGGCUGCCUCUGAGAGCCCCUAAGCAGGGGAACCAGCUAAGCUGCUCCCACAGUCCUGACCCACAGAACUUUGAGAUCCUCUGUGUGUUGUUUUCGGCUCCUAAGCUUGCGGCGAUCUGUUAUGUAGCAGUGGAUGAUAAAGCAGGUUUGGGUGCCUGGAGGUGGGGUUCUGCUGUGAGAAAGACCUAAAAUGGGGGAGAGGCUUUGGACCAGGCAGUUGAUAGAGGCUGGGAGGAUUUUGAGGAGCCUAAAUUGCCUUGAAUAACUGUUAGUAGAAGUCUGCGCAGCGAGGCUGCUGCAUGGCAGGGAACCUGCUGUUAGAAGCUGGAGGACUCUUGUUGUGUCACCACAGAAAGCUCAGCGACACUGGCGCCUGCAGCUGUGUGGCCGGCAAAAGGUUCUUAAGCACAGUUGUUGAAGGUGCUGCCUGAUUUCUCCUGGCUACUUAUGGUAAAAAUACAAGACUAUGAUAAAUUGAGGGAUGAACUGUUAAACAAAAAGGAACCAGCACUGGUGCUCUAAGUUUUACCAGGCUUUCUGGAUGGUAAAAGACACUAAAAUUAAGAAGUGUCCUCUGAGUCUCAUCAGGAAAACCUGGCACAGAUGAAACCUGGUCUAGGGAAAAAUCCCAGAGGCAACUGUACAGCCUUUCCUUUAAAACUCAGAAGAAUCAAAGGAUCAGAGUAGCAUUCAGCCAGACAAACAGCCCUUUACGAAGUUUAGGGUGGUGCCUCGGAACCUAACAGUAGAGCUGCUAGGAAGCUUAAAAACCAUCCCCUCAGCAGGAGCCCACAGUAGGGCAGGGCUUAUCUCAAAGACAUUUGUGAGUGUGUUUUGCCCAAUGGCGUAUAUGCCCAAUGAGAUUCACAAAGGGCCCACAACUUUAUGAGAAAAUAUCACCGAAAACACUGUCAGUGUGGGCUGGAAGGGACAGAGAGAGGAGAAAAGGAGGAGACUGUUGGACACACACCCCCCACCUCAAAUUCCGCUGGCAGGAAACAGGCUGAGGAAACCACUCGGCUGCAGACACAUGGAACCUCUGAUGCAAAAGCAGGAGGACUCAGAGAGUAGAACCAAUGGUCCAGAGGGCAGAGCUGAAGGCCUUGGAGCAUCGGUCCCAGCCCCUGAAAGCUGAUCGACGGCUCCCACAUGCUUGUCUGCCUGGAUUUCAGAAUCCCUGUGGGCCAGGGGCUCCUUUAUUCUUCACUCCCCUGAACCCCAUUGCAACAGGACUGCCUGUAGCUCUACCCUUUGCCCAUCGCAGCAUGUAUUAUGGGUGUGUGGGGUGGGGGUGGGGGUAGGUAAUUUGUCUCUAGUUUCAUGAGUCCAUCAGUGGAGAGGACUUGUGUGCCAGGAGCUGCACUCAACAGAGCACACCUGAGGAGCCUCUUCUGUGCCUGCACAUGAUUUGGAGGAGACUCUGGACUUUGAACUGGUCCUCCGCUAGGAAGAGACUUUGGGGGACCUUGGGAGGGGGCGAGUAUAUUUUGCAAGUGGAAAGGACACGACUCACAGGGAACCACAGGGUGGAGUAGACUCUGAUGAUUCCCUUCUGGGAUUCCUUCCCCUGGAGUUACCGGCUUCUGACAAGUCACUGGGGAAUGUCCCUUAGGACACAAGAAGCCUUGACUGUGGUCUUGCCAGCAGCUCUGCCAGCAGCCAGCAGGGAACCGGGUCCCCAGUCCCCCUGCCCCAGGGAACUGGGUUCUGCCAACAACGACAUGAGCCUGGAAGUGGAUCCUUCCCGGGUCCAGCCUCCAGGUCCGCCCCAGCCCUGCAAAUUCCUCGACUGCAGCCUGUGAGAGACCCUCAAGGAGAGGAUCCACCUGUGCUGGGCCAAGACCCUUGACCCAAAGAAACUGUGAGCUAGUAAGUGUGUUGUUUUGUGCUGUUACACAUGUGGCCUUUGUUAUACAGCAACAGGGAACCCACACAGAGAAACCAGGGCACUGGUGGGGUCCCUGCGGCUGAGAGGAGAAAAUGCGUGGGGAGGGCAGGGUCAAACGCUUGGGAGAAAAGGACUUCUGAGUGGCCUUCGGUCUUGUGGGCAGUGAAAGAGCUGAGGACCGGCCAGCUGUGAGGCCGUAGCCCAGGGCAGUGGUAAAUUCCAGACCCCAGGCCCUUGAAGAUUUUCUCUAGCUCGUCCUCCUGGAGGAGACUGACUGACGUUUCCUUCCCCUGAGCUCUGGUCUCCCAGUUGCACCCUGGGUUCUGCUUGCCUCCUCCCCCAAAGGCCCCAGCACUCGCCCCAUUCAUUCAUUCCCCAGUACCAGGAUCACCAAACCCAGAAUGUGUGCCCCACCACCCACCUCCCCGACCUAACCCUGGGUGUGGCUUCAGGCAUUGGAGCCCAGA